CUUCAGUGCUCACAGUUCAGGAAGAGAGGAGAUUAACCGGCUUCUGGUAGAUCAGACUCCCCCAGAACAAAUUGCAAAUGGCCCCAUCUAGAACUGAACAACACUUACUACCAAAACUAGUGCUUUAACCAUUGAUCCGGCAAUGGAGUCGUGUGAUUGUGUUAGCCCUGGAAUAGCAGGACAAAGGGUGAUGUGAUGACAAACAUUGCACAUUGUAGCACCUAAGUUCUACAUUAUUCUUUCCCUGCAGGAUAAGAGCAAUUCUCUGAAGGAAGAAAAACUCCUAUUGGAUGCCGUUGGGUUUCUGCCCUAUCUCCAAGGGGAAGAAAUGUGUUGGAAUUUUAAUAGUGAAAGAAGGAGAGAGAGAUGGGGAAGGAUACAAUGAGAGAGAGAGAGAGAGAGAGAGAGGACUGGUGUAAAUUAUUUCUUCAUGGGACCAAAGCCAGGACUGGAGAUUUCGAAGGCAACAGAAUGUUGCCCAUACUGACAUUUUAAGAACACCCUGUCUUCCAACGGUGGCCAGUACUAGUGCCUGAGAGGGAAUGAACAGAACAGGUAAUCAUAAAGUGAUCCAUACCCUGUUGCCCAUUCCCAGCUUCCCAGUUUCUUUUGUUAUGUGAAUGGGUAAAUAACAUUUACUUAUUCAUGUUCUCCACACCAUUUGCGAUUUUAUAGACCUCUAUCAUAUCGCCCCUCUGUCAUCUCUUUUCUAAGAUGAACAGUCCCCAUCUUUUUAAUCUCUCCUCAUAAGAACAUAAGUAUGGCGAUAUUGGUCAUUGUCCCUUGGUUUUUUGUAUCUUGUGUUUAUUUUUACUGUUAAAUAUAGGUUCACAAAUAGAUGUACGGCAUGCCUUUUGAGCUUGGGUCAAGCAAAGUUGGCCACUUUGAAGAGCAGACAAUGUAAAUUAUUUGGUACUGGAGAUGGUGUUGAUCUUCUUUUUCAUUAUUAUUAUUAUUAUUAUUAUUAUAGUAGUUUUAUGCUAAACUUCAUUUCAAGUUUAGAUAGUCUUUUAUACACAAUGUAGAUCAAAUUUUCAGUGGUGGGCAACUGCAAAUGUACGUUUUAUGGUUAGGGAUGUGCAACUGUUUAUGAAUUUGCAUUUUUUUCUUGUUUUUACUGUGUUUUAUGUACUGAUUUCUUAAAAGUAUUUUAAAGGUCACCUAUCCCCAUACACACCCAUUUCUCUAUCUAAUUACAUGUGUGCCCAUCCAAUUGUCGGAGUCUCUGAAGACUGGCAGAUGUCACAAGACUGUGGGAGGUUGUUAUUGACAUGAGCAUUCCCAGAAGAGACAGUCCUUCCAAGAAUAGAGACCCUGUUCUGUAAG